CGGCUUCCUACGGGAGGCAGCAGUGGGGAAUAUUGGACAAUGGGGGGAACCCUGAUCCAGCCAUGCCGCGUGUGUGAAGAAGGCCUUAUGGUUGUAAAGCACUUUAAGCGAGGAGGAGGCUACUAGUAUUAAUACUACUGGAUAGUGGACGUUACUCGCAGAAUAAGCACCGGCUAACUCUGUGCCAGCAGCCGCGGUAAUACAGAGGGUGCGAGCGUUAAUCGGAUUUACUGGGCGUAAAGCGUGCGUAGGCGGCCAUUUAAGUCAAAUGUGAAAUCCCCGAGCUUAACUUGGGAAUUGCAUUCGAUACUGGAUGGCUAGAGUAUGGGAGAGGAUGGUAGAAUUCCAGGUGUAGCGGUGAAAUGCGUAGAGAUCUGGAGGAAUACCGAUGGCGAAGGCAGCCAUCUGGCCUAAUACUGACGCUGAGGUACGAAAGCAUGGGGAGCAAACAGGAUUAGAUACCCCGGUAGUCCAAGCCG
rnacentral:rRNA from 1 species